rnacentral:rRNA from 1 species
CAAUCGAACUCGGAGAUAGCUGGUUCUCCCCGAAAUAGCUUUAGGGCUAGCGUUAUGUUAGAUUACCGGAGGUAAAGCACUGAAUGGUGGCGGGGCCGAUAAGGUUACCAAGACCUAUCAAACUCUGAAUGCCGGAUAAUUGAUGCAUAGCAGUCAGACAGCGUGAGAUAAGUUUCGUUGUCAAAAGGGAAACAGCCCAGACCCACAGCUAAGGUCCCAAAUUCAUGCUAAGUGGAAAACGAUGUGGAAUUGCGAAAACAACCAGGAUGUUGGCUUAGAAGCAGCCACUCAUUAAAAGAGUGCGUAAUAGCUCACUGGUCGAGUGACUCUGCGCGGAAAAUAUAACGGGGCUAAGCACACAACCGAAGCUUGGGAUUGUCAAAAGACAGUGGUAGGGGAGCGUCGAAUACGGGGUGAAGUCGUAUCGGAAGGAACGGUGGACUGUAUUCGAGUGAGAAUGCCGGAAUGAGUAGCGAGAAUUAUGUGGGAAUCAUAAUGGCCGAAAAUCUAAGGUUUCUUGGGGAAGGUUCGUCCGCCCAAGGUAAGUCGGGAGCUAAGCUCAGGCCGAGAGGCGUAGGCGAUGCACAUACGGUAGAAAUUCCGUAACCACCGAAACUUAAACAGAGGGACACUUCGAAAUAGCGGAACCCGGGCGUUGGUUGACCCGGGCGUAAGGGAGCGAAAUUAGAGUAGCGAAGUCCGCGAUGUUCGGAGGCGAGAAAAGCUCUGAGGUAUGCUAAGGUGCCCGUACCGCAAACCGACACAGGUAGAUGAGGAGAGAAUCCUAAGGCCAACGGGAGAAGGGUUGUUAAGGAACUCGGCAAAUUGACCCCGUAACUUCGGAAGAAGGGGAGCCUCGAAAGAGGCCGCAGUGAAUAGGCCCAAGCAACUGUUUACCAAAAACACAGGUCUAUGCUAAAUCGAAAGAUGACGUAUAUGGGCUGACGCCUGCCCGGUGCCGGAAGGUUAAGAGGAGAUGUCAGGCAACGAAGCAUUGAAUUGAAGCCCCGGUAAACGGCGGCCGUAACUAUAACGGUCCUAAGGUAGCGAAAUUCCUUGUCAGGUAAGUUCUGACCCGCACGAAUGGCGUAAUGAUUUGGGCACUGUCUCAACAGCCCGCCCGGCGAAAUUGUAGUACUGGUGAAGAUGCCAGUUACCCGCAACUAGACGGAAAGACCCCAUGGAGCUUUACUGCAGUUUAAUACUGGGAAUCGGUAAUUCAUGUACAGGAUAGGUGGGAGACUGAGAAGCACGGCCGUCAGGUCGUGUGGAGUCACCGGUGGGAUACCACUCUUGGAUUGCUGGUUUCCUAACCUGCGGCCCUGAAUCGGGUCGGGGGACACUGUUAGACGGGCAGUUUGACUGGGGCGGUCGCCUCCAAAAGAGUAACGGAGGCGCUCAAAGGUUGGCUCAGCACGGACGGAAAUCGUGCAAUGAGUGUAAACGUAUAAGCCAGCCUAACUGCGAGACCGACGGGUCGAGCAGUAACGAAAGUUGGAGUUAGUGAUCCGGUGGUAUGUGAGUGGAAAUGCCAUCGCUCAACGGAUAAAAGCUACCCUGGGGAUAACAGGCUGAUCUCCCCCAAGCGUCCACAGCGACGGGGAGGUUUGGCACCUCGAUGUCGGCUCGUCGCAUCCUGGGGCUGUAUUCGGUCCCAAGGGUUUGGCUGUUCGCCAAUUAAAGCGGCACGCGAGCUGGGUU